rnacentral:rRNA from 1 species
GAUGAACGCUAGCGGUAGGCUUAAUACAUGCAAGUCAAGGGGGUAGCAAUACAACCGGCGCACGGGUGAGUAACGCGUACACAACAUGCCAUAUACUGGGGUAUAGCUUUGGGAAACUGAAGGUAAUCCCCCAUAGUAUUGCGGGUAGGCAUCUAUCUGCAAUUAAAGUUUCGACGGUAUAUGAUUGGUGUGCGUUCCAUUAGCUAGUUGGUAGGGUAACGGCCUACCAAGGCGACGAUGGGUAGCUGGCGUGAGAGCGCGACCAGCCACACUGGAACUGAGACACGGUCCAGACUCCUACGGGAGGCAGCAGUAGGGAAUAUUGGACAAUGGGCGAAAGCCUGAUCCAGCCAUGCCGCGUGAUAGAUGAAGGCCCUCUGGGUUGUAAAUAUCUUUAUCUGGGAAGAAACUCCUCUAUUCUUAGAGGCCUGACGGUACCAGAGGAAUAAGCACCGGCUAACUCCGUG